rnacentral:rRNA from 1 species
AUACGGAGGACGCGAGCGUUAUCCGGAUUCAUUGGGUUUAAAGGGUGCGCAGGCGGCCGUGCAAGUCAGCGGUGAAAGCCCGGGGCCCAACCCCGGAAGUGCCGUUGAUACUGCAUGGCUUGAAUGCGGUCGAGGCGCGCGGCACGUGGCGUGUAGCGGUGAAAUGCGUAGAUAUGCCACAGAACGCCGAUAGCGGAGGCAGCUCGCCAGGCCUGCAUUGACGCUCGGGCACGAAAGCGUGGGGAUCGAACAGGAUUAGAUACCCUGGUAGUCCACGCCGUAAACGAUGGGCGCUCGUCGUCGGCGGCAGACAGUCGGCGGCCAAGCGAAAGCGAUAAGCGCCCCACCUGGGGAGUACGGUCGCAAGGCUGAAACUCAAAUGAAUUGACGGGG